rnacentral:rRNA from 1 species
UUGAACGCUGGCGGAAUGCUUUACACAUGCAAGUCGAACGGCAGCACGGGGCAACCUGGUGGCGAGUGGCUAACGGGUGAGUAAUACGUCGGAACGUGCCCAGUCGUGGGGGAUAACGUAGCGAAAGUUACGCUAAUACCGCAUACGAUCUAAGGAUGAAAGCGGGGGAUCGCAAGACCUCGCGCGAUUGGAGCGGCCGAUGUCAGAUUAGGUAGUUGGUGGGGUAAAGGCUCACCAAGCCGACGAUCUGUAGCUGGUCUGAGAGGACGACCAGCCACACUGGAACUGAGACACGGUCCAGACUCCUACGGGAGGCAGCAGUGGGGAAUUUUGGACAAUGGGCGAAAGCCUGAUCCAGCCAUUCCGCGUGCAGGAUGAAGGCCUUCGGGUUGUAAACUGCUUUUGUACGGAACGAAACGGUCCUUUCUAAUACAAGGGGCUAAUGACGGUACCGUAAGAAUAGGCACCGGCUAACUACGU